rnacentral:rRNA from 1 species
AGCGAACGCUGGCGGCAGGCCUAACACAUGCAAGUCGAACGAAGUCUUCGGACUUAGUGGCGGACGGGUGAGUAACACGUGGGAACGUACCUUUUGGUUCGGAACAACUCGGGGAAACUUGAGCUAAUACCGGAUGAGCCCUUGGGGGGAAAGAUUUAUCGCCGAAAGAGCGGCCCGCGUUAGAUUAGCUAGUUGGUGAGGUAAAGGCUCACCAAGGCUACGAUCUAUAGCUGGUCUGAGAGGAUGAUCAGCCACACUGGGACUGAGACACGGCCCAGACUCCUACGGGAGGCAGCAGUGGGGAAUCUUGCGCAAUGGGCGAAAGCCUGACGCAGCCAUGCCGCGUGAAUGAUGAAGGUCUUAGGAUUGUAAAAUUCUUUUACCAGGGACGAUAAUGACGGUACCUGGAGAAAAAGCCCCGGCUAACUUCGUGCCAGCCGCCGCAGUAAGAC